GACGUAGGGUGCAAGCGUUGUCCGGAUUUAUUGGGCGUAAAGAGCUCGUAGGCGGCUCAGUAAGUCAGGUGUGAAAACUCCAGGCUCAACCUGGAGACGCCACCUGAUACUGCUGUGGCUAGAGUCCGGUAGGGGAGCAUGGAAUUCCUGGUGUAGCGGUGAAAUGCGCAGAUAUCAGGAGGAACACCAGUGGCGAAGGCGGUGCUCUGGGCCGGAACUGACGCUGAGGUUCGAAAGCGUGGGGAGCAAACAGG
rnacentral:rRNA from 1 species